GGCUAUAUAGCUCAGUUGGUUAGAGCACAUCACUCAUAAUGAUGGGGUCCCUAGUUCGAAUCUAGGUAUAGCCACCA
rnacentral:tRNA from 3 species